CGAUCCUUUCAUUCUUUGCCUCAUAGGUCCCAGUAACUUGUCCGACUACCAGACGAGAGUCGGUUUUAAUUCGGAUCUUCUUGACUUUAAGAGAUUU